rnacentral:rRNA from 1 species
CGCCGGCGGUGUGCCUAAUACAUGCAAGUCGAACGCGUUGGUCCAAUUGACAGGUGGUGCUUGCUCCUGUUAGAUUUUGGUCGCCAACGAGUGGCGGACGGGUGAGUAACACGUAGGCAACCUGCCCAGAAGCGGGGGACAACAUUUGGAAACAGAUGCUAAUACCGCAUAACAACGUUGUUCGCAUGAACAACGUUUCAAAGAUGGCCUCUGGCUAUCACUUCUGGAUGGACCUGCGGUGCAUUAGCUUGUUGGUGGGGUAAUGGCCUACCAAGGCGAUGAUGCAUAGCCGAGUUGAGAGACUGAUCGGCCACAAUGGGACUGAGACACGGCCCAUACUCCUACGGGAGGCAGCAGUAGGGAAUCUUCCACAAUGGGCGCAAGCCUGAUGGAGCAACACCGCGUGAGUGAAGAAGGGUUUCGGCUCGUAAAGCUCUGUUGUUAAAGAAGAACAUGCGUGAGAGUAACUGUUCACGCAUUGACGGUAUUUAACCAGAAAGUCACGGCUAACUACGUGCCAGCAGCCGCGGUAAUACGUAGGUGGCAAGCGUUAUCCGGAUUUAUUGGGCGUAAAGAGAGUGCAGGCGGUUUACUAAGUCUGAUGUGAAAGCCUUCGGCUUAACCGGAGAAGGGCAUCGGAAACUGGCUAACUUGAGUGCAGAAGAGGGUAGUGGAACUCCAUGUGUAGCGGUGGAAUGCGUAGAUAUAUGGAAGAGCACCAGUGGCGAAGGCGGCUACCUGGUCUGUAACUGACGCUGAGACUCGAAAGCAUGGGUAGCGAACAGGAUUAGAUACCCUGGUAGUCCAUGCCG